rnacentral:lncRNA from 1 species
CUGUGCUGCUCAAUUUGCCCUCAUAUGUUUCCUCUUUAGAUAACAUUACUUGUACAAAUUCCAAGCUAAGCUGAAUCAGGGAGACUCAGAGGGUCUUUAUGGUAUUUCUUAUGUAACAGAGCUCAGCUUACUUUAUUUGUGCCUUGCAUAUGGGGUUUCUUCAACUCCCAAGGGCUGAAGACUUGGAGGCUGGGGGGCAGUGGAGAAAACCAGUUGGGACUGAAUGAAUAUCAGCUGCUGACUUGUGGGAGAUAUGAGAAGCACCAGCAACCAUAGAAAAGCUGCAAUUUUCUAUUUUCCUUGGGUGACAUACCAAGGAAAGGAUUUGGGUGGAGCAGACAAUGAGAAAUCCAGUUGGGCUUGCAGCAACAGUAUUCAGGGGCAGUUUAAGGAAUGA